UCCAUGCCCCUCACCAGGCCCUCAGCAACCGAUGCAGCUGCCAAGGCGGCCGCUACCGGUGACAGGCCUAGCAGCCUGCUCAGGAGGAUUACGCUGAGGAAAAGUCUCUAUUUCCUUCCAAGCACGAAUGUGAGCCUCCCUCCUUUUCAAAGGCUGCCUGGUGGUGGAGAACCCACCGCACCUGUAUUCAUGGACCACCCCACUCAUGACUCCCGGGAACACCCAUGGACCAAGAACGAUGGCCACCCAGGCCACCUGGAAGGGUGGCCACUGCAAUGACAGGCGGGCAGCACGGACGCUGAGUAACAAGUGGUGUGGAGGGUGAAAGGAAAUUUACAAGCAGGAGAGAAAUUAAGGACAAGAACAAGUUCUGAGGAUAGAGUUUCGGAGACAGGAACUCUAAUUACACCAGAGCAAGAGGAGACUGCUUCAGGAAAUUUCUGAAAGGUUAAAUAGGAAAGCUGAGGGUCAAAAUCAUACUGUGACGAGAAUAAAGAAAGAAGAUGUGUUUGCAAGGAGGUAAGCUGGGUAAUCGUGAAAGGAAGGACGAUGACAGAGAAGGAAACCUGAAGACCCAAAUAAAUAAUAGAAACCUAGACCACAAAAGAUGCUGAAUACAGUGCACAAAUAUUCAGGUGUGGAAAGAUAAGUCAGAAGCCGAAACACGGUUACCAUUAUCAUGCAAAGGAAUGGAACUCUUAGCAAAAAUAAAUGACUUAGCAUGUGACCAAUGCUUCUUUUCUUAGGUAGCUUGGUCUGGAGAGAAAAAGCUGAUAAUCACCCCCUAUCAAGGGUUUUCAGCCCAUUUAAGUGAGCCCUACACACAGGAGACACAGCAAUGAUUGUUGACCAUUGUUAUCUUCCAAAGAAUAGAAACAAACUGGUCUUACACAGUGGAGUUCGUUAGUACUCCCCAACGCAGACUAGAAAAUACUGGAAAGAAGUCUCCUGAGGACAUUAGCAAUGUUUGUAAACGUGUGCAGGUACGUGUUGACUAUGCGAUCACUCUGGACUGGAAAAUGGUUCUCAGCAGAUCACAGCAUGAUUUCUUUUUCACAGUUGAAAACAUGAAUAUUAUUAUAACCAGCUAAGAGCAGGGAGACAUGGCGGGCGAGACUGACAGAUAUUACAACUCUUAGGAGAAGAAUUAGAAAUCAAUCUAGCAACAAAUAUUUACUGCGCAUCAGAGUAUGCUAGGCAUCGUGAGAAAUAAUACCUCCAUAGCUGAUAAAGGCUUUCCAAAGUAUGUCUGCAGUUAAUUCGCACAUUUCCGUGACGUGGGUAUUGUCAGCCCUCUUCGUUAAUGAGAAAAAAUGAGAUUCAAAGAGGUUAAUUGAAUUGGAGAUCUCCUGAUUUCUGGUUUUAUAUCCUUCUUGUGUACUUUCUCAGUUUCACUUCUGAUUCCAUCGUUUCUUAGCUGAUUUACUUGAAGGAGUUAUUCAUCCUCUGUAUUCUCAGUCGUUAAAAUGGAAACACUAAUACCUACUGCGUAAGGUUGUUGAAAGGAUUCAAUGAGGGAACAUGUAUAAAAAUGCGGGACAUGGUGCCUGGCCCAUAGUAGGUCCUCAGCAAAAGUUGGUUUUCUCUCCCUUCUCUUUACAAAGCACAGUGGUAGAUGGAUUAAGCCGUCCAGCAUGGAUAGCACAACCUAGCAGGCACAGCAUAGAGAGAUGUCCCAACCCGGGCAAGGUCACCUGCCCACCCGUGAUUUGGCGUCAGGCAGAAUAAGGAGCCACCAGACCCCAGCCUCUCUGAGUGACGCCUGCCAUCACCAGAAAUCUCCUCAGCCCAGCAGAUUCCUCAAAACUUCUGGGAGGGUAGGCCUUAGAGCAAUCCUCUGGUGUAUGUCUUACAGAUACUUACAGAUUUGAAAGACAGGCUCAUUCAUGAUGCUGGAAAAGGGGGACUUGAAAUGAAAGUAGGCAGUGAGGAGGGAACUAGAAAGUGUAAGAAAAAGAAAGAAAGGAAGAAAAGAAGGAGCGGGGAGAGAGAGAAAGAAUAGAAAGGAAGCAACAUUUUCAAAGUCUACGGCUAAGGAAGAAAAAAAAGGCGUGACUUGAGCCUUUUCAUGUAAAUAUAUAUAAAAACAUGAACAUUUGUAAUAACAAGGAUAAACUUAACACGCAAAAAAUAUACAAACUAGAAUGUUACACACAGCAGGAUACAAAAUUGUAGACAUGGGAUGAUUACAACAAUAAAAACCGAUGCAGGAGAAACCACUUGACAAAAAUAUUUCCCAAGUGUCAGCAGUGGGUGUGGUCUUUGAGAGGCUGGGGGACAUUUUCGUCUUCUUUGUCUAUAACAAAAAGAAUGAAUAGAUUUAUUUAAAAGAGGUAACUGGUGGCACUGAGAUGACUUCUUUCCCCUGAAUAACCCAUGCAUCAUCCUCAGCAAGGCGGCACCACCAUCCUAAGAGCUGGAUAGGGGCCUGCCCUCUCUUUCAUUCUUGUUCUUCUCAGUGCCAGCUUCUAUCGCCUCACGCCAAGCCAAGGUCAAUGGCUUCCUGCUGGAUGUCUUGACCUCCUAGUGUCUUCCUACCCUGUCCUUCCUUCAGAGCUCUGCCAGACUCAUCCACCUAAAUUCAUGACCGCUUCCUACUCUCUCCCUCCCUCCCCUUGCUCAUCUAUCUCCUAAGUUCUCUCAUGUCCUCCCUGCCACUCCCUUGGUUCCGGGUUCAUCCUCCGGGGCACUGUGUCUCCCCUGCCUCCCUGCAUUGCCCUCAGGAUAAAGCACAAACUCCUGUUGCCAACAAUUUCAUCACAUGCCUUUCCCUACCUCCCACACCAUGCUCCAUGUGACCAGGCUUUGUGCCUCAUCAUUAAGGUCUGACAGCAACAUGUGAAUAUUUCCACCAUAGCACUUACCGUAUUUUACUGAAAGUAUCUGCUUCUUACCUGUCAUGUCGCCCAAACAAGAACCUCUCUCAGGGCAAAGACCAUGUCUGAAUCAUGGCUGAGCCCCCGGGACCUACCACAGUCCCUGUCACAUGGUAUGUUCUCAAUAAAUACUGUCUGAUUGAAUCUCAUCCUCCUUACCAAAACUUUCUCACAGCUCCCCUCUGAAUACACUCCAAACCCCUAGCCUGACUUUCAAGGACUUCCAAAGAUGGAUUCGAACCUGCCUUUGCUCCAGCCCCCCACCAUGGGCCCCAGCGCCGCCGUGCUGAGCAAUGGCGUUUUCUCAAGCGUACUUGCACGUAAUAUCCACUCCUUUCUCACCGUGCCCAAAGCACGCUCCCGUCUUCUGGUUUCCUAACAUAACUGUUUCUUUUUCAAGCCUCAGCGCCAGCCCCACCUCCUCUCAAAGCCCGCCCACUACUGCACUCACUCAGGGUCUGCAACAAUCCUUAGCUGCUUCUGGAACUUCUCAUGUGCGCAUGUCUCACUUCCCUAAUUCAAUUUAUGUAAGCCCCGAGCCAUGGUUCACAGGCACUUGGAUCCCCAAGGUGACUUGUGCACGGGAACUUCUCAGUGAGAGCUGUGCACUGGCUGACAGGUCACUGGCUGGUGUGGAGGUGACAAUUACUGGCUGGGUGUGUUGUUUUGGUUACUCAGCUGUGGGUCCACUUCUCUUACAGGCCGUGCCUCGAGGGUGGGCCCCUGAACCUAAAAGGGAGAGGUUAGGUCACCUCAGCCCUUUCCCAGCUGCCCUGCCUCUGCUUCCUUAUUUCCUGACACAGGACAUGGGAUGGAUGGCCAGAGAGGCCCUGUCACACCUUGACAAAGGACCAGGACGGGCCGCAGUAGACAAAGGACCCCAUAGUCUGCAGCCAGCGUCCCAGUCCUCAGAACCACUCACCACUCAUGUCGUAGAACUCCAGGCUUUGCUGAAUCUGUAGGCAGACUCUUAAAGUCUACAGGAAAGCAUUAGGAAAGAGCAAAUCAUGUUUUAAUUAUAAACUUCCAAUGGCUCCCCUCUGAAUACCAUCCAAGGCAGUAGCCUGGCAUUCGAGACCUUACAAAUUUUUUAUCCAAAUCUGUCUCUCAUUAAUCAAAUUCCAUCCAAAGCCACGCAGCCUGUACCUUUUACUCAUGUAGAAAGAAAUGGAAAAUUCCUCACUAAUGAAUAAAUAAAUUAAUCUAAUUGUGA